ensembl:lncRNA
GUGUGAACAUUGCUUGGAAAAAAUAGCUCAACUGUGAAUAGAUAUUUGAUAAAUAGGCCGUAGUCAUUAUGAUAUUAUCAAAUGCAAGCAAAUCCACAUCCUCAUCUUGGUGAAUUUAACAAGGGAAGAUGGCUUAUGUAUCUACUGGUACUGUUCAUAGUUUGAUACUUCAUCUUCUCUAUCUAGAGAAGUCACGUAGAAGAAGUUAUCCUGGAACCACGUGUGUGAAUCUUGGUAACUAACCUGAAGAGAGUGGGAAGGAUUUUAACUUUUCAGAAAUCACCAGGUGGAAAGUGGCUUGGUAAAGAUGACAGCUGACUGAAGGGGGGGGGAAAAAAAAGAGAGAGAAAGAAAAAAAAGAGAAAAAGAAAAAAAGAAGAAAAAAAGAAAAAGCAGCUGCCUACUCUUUACCCAAACACAUGCUCUCUGGAGCAAUUGAAACUGAAAAUUUUAACACUAAAGGACGGAGCUUUCUCUGCUUCAUUCUAUGUCAUCCCAUCCAGCAGUAUGGACAGCAUACAAGAACCAGAAUAUCUUCU